CAGCAGCCGCGGGAAUACGAAGGGGGCUAGCGUUGUUCGGAUUUACUGGGCGUAAAGGGCGCGUAGGCGGACUGAUAAGUCAGGGGUGAAAUCCCAAGGCUCAACCUUGGAGCUGCCUUUGAUACUGUUUGUCUUGAGUUCGAGAGAGGUAAGUGGAACUGCGAGUGUAGAGGUGAAAUUCGUAGAUAUUCGCAAGAACACCAGUGGCGAAGGCGGCUUACUGGCUCGAAACUGACGCUGAGGCGCGAAAGCGUGGGGAGCAAACAGGAUUAGAUACCCCGGUAGUCCCUGUCUCUUAUAC
rnacentral:rRNA from 1 species